CCUACGGGAGGCAGCAGUGGGGAAUCUUGCGCAAUGGGCGAAGGCCUGACGCAGCCAUGCCGCGUGAAUGAUGAAGGUCUUAGGAUUGUAAAAUUCUUUCACCGGGGACGAUAAUGACGGUACCCGGAGAAGAAGCCCCGGCUAACUUCGUGCCAGCAGCCGCGGUAAUACGAAGGGGGCUAGCGUUGCUCGGAAUUACUGGGCGUAAAGGGAGCGUAGGCGGAUAGUUUAGUCAGAGGUGAAAGCCCAGGGCUCAACCUUGGAAUUGCCUUUGAUACUGGCUAUCUUGAGUACGGAAGAGGUAUGUGGAACUCCGAGUGUAGAGGUGAAAUUCGUAGAUAUUCGGAAGAACACCAGUGGCGAAGGCGACAUACUGGUCCGUUACUGACGCUGAGGCUCGAAAGCGUGGGGAGCAAACAGGAUUAGAUACCCUGGUAGUCCACGCUGUAAACGAUGAGUGCUAGUUGUCGGCAUGNANGNNUGUGGUGACGCAGCUACGACAUAAGUACACUCCGCCGUCGGGGAGGUACGGUCGGCGAAGAAGUUAAACUUAACUUAAAGAAAGUUAGUUAGGCGUGAGAGNGCCGACGGACGACGACGAGGGAGGAGG
rnacentral:rRNA from 1 species